rnacentral:tRNA from 1 species
CGGCCUCGUGGCAUAACCAGCAGUGCGCCGGUUUCUGGAGCCGGAGGUCUGGGUGCGAGUCCCGGCGAGGCAGCCA